rnacentral:misc_RNA from 1 species
UGGCUGUUUGGUCACUAGGCAAUGUGGUGUUCAGGUUAUCUCGCAGUGGUACUGCUUCACCCUAAGUCCAGAAAUGAGUACGGCAAUGGACAUGGCCCAGGGAGGGUGAAAGGCCCGUGGGGGUGAAGACUCAGUUUGGACAGUAUCACUAUGAGUAUACCUUGGAGUCGGGUUGUUUGUGAAUGCAGCCCAAAGUGGGUGGUAAACUCCAUCCAAGGCUAAAUACUUACACGAGUCCGAUAGCGAACAAGUACCGUGAGGGAAAGUUGAAAAGUACUUUGAAGAGAGAGUAAACAGUGCGUGAAACCGCUCAGAGGUAAACAGGUGGAGUUGAACUGCAAGCAUUGAGAAUUCAGCUGGUGAAUGUGUUAUGAGCUUGGGCAUAUUGGUUGGCCUUCGAGGUCUGCUUAGCCGCAGGUCUUCGCCUUUUGGUGAGGAUUCGCGAUACACUUAUCAAGUGUUGUGAGCCUUGUUGGUUAUCGAGCCUGUUCGCCAGUGCAUUUUCUCAUUGUGGUCACCACGACCGGCGCUGCUGUCUAACUGAUGGUCUUAAACAACAGGUUGUUUCAACCACAAAAAUGUUGGCAGGUUGCUCGUUGGUUUACGUGUGAGUCUCGGCUUGUGCGUGCAUAGCUUUCGAGUAUUGACAGCUGACCUUAUUGGUUAUGUGCAGUGCGUCGGAGACGGCGGCUACUGGUGUGUGCAUGCGUGCUUAGUCUUUCAGCGAGUUUGAGUCUGGCUGCACGUUGCCUGUAUUUGCAGGCCUUGUGGCGGCUCGAGUUCGUCUGUUGGGCGGCUGCGCGUGUGUUACCGAAUCAGGGCCUAUAGUCUGUGGUGUAGUGGUAGACUAUCCACCUGACCCGUCUUGAAACACGGACCAAGGAGAGUAACAUGUGCGCGAGUCAUUGGGCGUUACGAAACCCAAAGGCGCAGUGAAAGUAAAUGUCCGACUUGUUCGGAUUAUGGUGAGAUCCUGUCGUUUCUCAUGCAUGGUACCACCAAGCUGCGAGCGGCAGGCGCAUCACCGGCCCGUCUCAUAACGUAAAUGUGGUUCUUCGAUCGUAUGUC